UACGAAGGGUGCAAACGUUGCUCGGAAUUAUUGGGCGUAAAGCGCGUGUAGGCGGCUUUGCAAGUCGGGUGUGAAAUCCCUCAGCUUAACUGAGGAAGUGCGCCCGAAACUGCCGAGCUUGAGUACCGGAGAGGGUGGCGGAAUUCCCCAAGUAGAGGUGAAAUUCGUAGAUAUGGGGAGGAACACCGGUGGCGAAGGCGGCCACCUGAACGGAUACUGACGCUGAGACGCGAAAGCGUGGGGAGCAAACAGG
rnacentral:rRNA from 1 species